UACGUAGGGGGCUAGCGUUGUCCGGAAUCAUUGGGCGUAAAGAGCGUGUAGGCGGCCAGGUAGGUCUGGUGUGAAAACUCGAGGCUUAACCUCGAGAUGUCAUCGGAAACCAUCUGGCUAGAGUCCGGAAGAGGAGAGUGGAAUUCCUGGUGUAGCGGUGAAAUGCGCAGAUAUCAGGAGGAACACCGGUGGCGAAGGCGGGUCUCUGGGCAACAACUGACGCUGAGGAGCGAAAGCGUGGGGAGCGAACAGG
rnacentral:rRNA from 1 species